GAUGAACGCUGGCGGCGUGCCUAAUACAUGCAAGUCGAGCGAACGGACGAGAAGCUUGCUUCUCUGAUGUUAGCGGCGGACGGGUGAGUAACACGUGGAUAACCUACCUAUAAGACUGGGACAACUUCGGGAAACCGGAGCUAAUACCGGAUGAUAUUUUGAACCGCAUGGUUCAAAAGUGAAAGACGGUCUUGCUGUCACUUAUAGCUGGAUCCGCGCUGCAUUAGCUAGUUGGUAAGGUAACGGCUUACCAAGGCAACGAUGCAUAGCCGACCUGAGAGGGUGAUAGCCCACACGGGAGCUGGGACACGGUCCAGACUCCUACGGGAGGCAGCAGUAGGGAACCGUACGCAGUGGGCGAAAGCCUGACGGAGCAACGGCGAGUGAGUGAUGAAGGUCUUCGGAUCGGAAAACUCUGUUAUUAGGGAAGAACAUAUGUGUAAGUAACUGUGCACAUCUUGACGGUACCUAGUCAGAAAGCCACGGCUAACUACGUG
rnacentral:rRNA from 1 species